AGCGAACGCUGGCGGCUGGCCUAACACAUGCAAGUCGAACGGGCUCUUCGGAGCUAGUGGCGGACGGGUGAGUAACACGUGGGAACGUGCCUUUAGGUUCGGAAUAAGCCCGGGAAACUGGGUCUAAUACCGAAUGUGCCCUUCGGGGGAAAGAUUUAUCGCCUUUAGAGCGGCCCGCGUCUGAUUAGUUUGUUGGUGAGGUAAUGGCUCACCAAGGCGACGAUCAGUAGCUGGUCUGAGAGGAUGACCAGCCACAUUGGGACUGAGACACGGCCCAAACUCCUACGGGAGGCAGCAGUGGGGAAUCUUGCGCAAUGGGCGAAAGCCUGACGCAGCCAUGCCGCGUGGAUGAUGAAGGUCUUAGGAUUGUAAAAUCCUUUCACCGGUGAAGAUAAUGACUGUAGCCGGAGAAGAAGCCCCGGCUAACUUCGUGCCAGCAGCCGCGGUAACAC
rnacentral:rRNA from 1 species